rnacentral:lncRNA from 10 species
CCAUGGCUUGAAAAUAUUAAGAUAUUUUGAAAGAAAGAGGAAGAAAAAGAGGCGUCAGUCACAUAACUUUUAUUACAGCACAUCGUUACGUUUCUAUUUCAUUAUUAGUUAUUGUUCAUAUCUUACUCUGCCUAACUUAUAAACUUUAACAUGCAUAUGUAUGGGAAAAAAAACAUAGUAUAUAUAAGGUUUGGUACUAUCUGCAGUUUCAGGCAUCCACUAAGGAUAUCAGAACAUAUUCUCUGCAUAUUUAGGAGCAAUUACCGUAUGAUAUUUUUUUCUUUCUGUGUAAACACAUGGUGUCAUAGUCCAUUUUGUGCUACUGUAACAGAAUAUCACAGACUAAUAACAAAUAACAGAAAUUUAUUGGCUUAUAGUUCUGUAGGCUGAGAAGUCCAAAAUCAAGAUGCUGGCAUCUGGGAAGGGCUUUUUUGUUGCAUCAUCACACAGAGGAAGGUGAGAAAUGAAGAGUGAGGUAUACAAGAGCAUCCAGAACCAUACUAUAUACAUUCCAGCUGUUUUGGUGUAGAAGCAGCACAAAUGUAGAAGCUGCAUUGUUUCUUGAUAAAAGGGUCCUGGAAAGAUGACCAGCUAUACAGUUUCCACUAGAGGAAAUGCAGAUUGGCUUGUACGACUUUAGAGUAUGAAAUAUAAAGAUCUGGAGUCUGUUCCAUGUUUUUUCAGGACUGGUGUGACUAUAUUAUGGAUAACGAAGGAAAGGAGCCUCCUUUGAAAGAAGCAUCUAAAUUAGGGAUGGGCUCCUCAUUUGGAGGAUGUUAGAAACUACGAAUCAAUGUCUCUCAUGUUCAAUGGAGCUCCCAUUUUUAUCGGUUUCAUGAGACUAUUAUUAAUUUAUUUGAAUCCAAGAUGAGUCUCAAAUAUACCCAGAAGAAAAAAAAUUAAGAAAUGAAACCAAGACUCCUAAUGCUUUGAAUGUUCGUAACAUUCGAGAAAAAUUUGAGCCUGGGCUAUAUAAUCAAAGUCUAGGAUUUGUGAACCUAACAGGGUUCCACUGUCACCUGUUUUCAAGAGAGUGCUGAGAAAAAUUCCAAUCUAUACCUUAAACAAUUAGGUUAAAUGAUUUAAAGAAAUUAGCCUUCAGAGGACUGAAUUUUUAAUGAUUUUUCUACUUGGAAAAUGUGACUUCUAAAUAAAAAAAGUGCUUGCUUAUUAUAAAACCUUGGUUCAAAGGUAAAUACUAUGUUCUGACAAGUGUAAAAUAAGUACAAGCACAUGUGAAAAUAACUGUUAACAGCAAAUGCUUAAGAAGUGUUCUUGUUUUCUAAAAUAAACAUUUCCUGUUCCUAAAGUUUUUGGAUCAGAAAAUGGAAAAAUAUAACUCUAGUUAAUGGGGAUACGCAAUUUGACUGUAGACCAAUAAUUAAUUGUCAUAAAGACUUUAAAAAUCCUUCUAGAUUAAUAAUGUGUAGAGGAGUCUUAGAGGAUUACUCAGUAAAAUAAAUUCAAGGUAACAAUAUUAAUCUAAGUUUCUUUAAUAUUCUUGAUCUGGGUAAACAUUUUCAUAAAUUAAUUUUGUGAAUUUUGAGUUUAAAAUAUGUCCUGCUCUAAUUUCACCAUGUGUAAAAUAAAAAGGCAAUCAUAGUAUUUUAGUCCAUAUAAAACCAUGCCUCCAUUUAUAAAAACAGACUUUUUUUGGACAGUUUAACAGUUACAGAAAAACUGAACAGGAAUUACAGAGAGUUCCCGUAUGUCCCCUCAAGCCCUCUUCCCUCCAGUUUCCACUAUUAGUAACAUCUUGCAUUAGUGUGGUACAUUUGUUAAAAUUGGUGAGCCAAUAUUGAUACAUUAUUAAGUCCAUAGUUUACAUUAGGGUUCACUCUUUGUGCAGUUUUAUUGGUUGUUAUAUUUUAUUGGUUUUGACAAAGGUAUGACAUGUAUCCACCAUUACAGUAUCAUUCAGAAUAGUUUCACUGCCUUAAAAAUCCUCUGUGCUCCACCUAUUCAUCCAACCCUUCCCAUGGACCACUGGUAACCACUACCUUUUCACUGUCUCCAUGGUUUUGCCUUUUCCAGAUUACCAUAUAGUUGGACUCAUACAAUAUGUAAUCCUUUCAGAUUGGCUUUUCCUUAGCAAUAUGCAUUUAAGGUUCCUCCAUUAUCCAGAGAUGGUUUUAGUUGUCACAACUUGGGUAGAGAGAUCAGGGGUCAAUGCUACUGGCAUCUAGUGGGUGGUAGAGACUGAGGUAGCUCAUGAGCAUCCUACAAUGCCCAGGACAGCCCCCUACAAAAAAGAAUUAUUCAGCCCCAAAUGCCAACCAUGCUCGAGGUUGAGUAACCUUGUGUUAAGAGUGACAUGUGGCAUGAGAAAUGGGGCGGUUUUGGCUCAUGUUGUGAUAUUCUAGAUUCAGAUAUUUCCCUGAGCAGAGAGGCUGAAAUGCUGAAAAUUUUUCAUUUGAUGACCUUGAUGCUUCCUUUCCUGACCAUCGUAAAGAACAAAUGGCUCCUUUGCUUUGGCAAGAAAUACUGAAGGUGGUGGCUUUUUUCUGUUUGUUUUGAAAUGAAGUCUUGCUAUGUUGCUCAAGCCAGUCUUGAAUUCCUGAACUUCUGGUCUCAAGUGAUCCUCCUGACUCAGCCUCCAGAGUAGCUGGGACUACAGGCACAUGUUACUGCACCAGCCUUCAACGUGAUUUUUUUUAUUUCAUUCAGGUGACAAACUCAUGCUGAGGUUCCCAAUUUUUGUCUCAGAGCUAGGAUAUUC